UACGUAGGGAGCAAGCGUUGUCCGGAAUCAUUGGGCGUAAAGCGCGCGUAGGUGGCUUCAUAAGUCCGUUGUGAAAGUCAAAGGCUCAACCUUUGAAAGCCGAUGGAUACUGUGAAGCUAGAGUACGGAAGAGGCGAGUGGAAUUCCUGGUGUAGCGGUGGAAUGCGCAGAUAUCAGGAGGAACACCAAUAGCGAAGGCAGCUCGCUGGGACGUUACUGACACUGAGGCGCGAAAGCGUGGGGAGCGAACAGG
rnacentral:rRNA from 1 species